GACGGAGGGUGCUAGCGUUGUUCGGAUUCAUUGGGCGUAAAGGGUGCGUAGGUGGCGGGGUAAGUCAGGUGUGAAAUCUCGAGGCUCAACCUCGAAACUGCACUUGAUACUGCCUUGCUCGAGUACUGGAGAGGAGAUUGGAAUUUACGGUGUAGCAGUGAAAUGCGUAGAUAUCGUAAGGAAGACCAGUGGCGAAGGCGAAUCUCUGGACAGUUACUGACACUGAGGCACGAAGGCCAGGGGAGCAAACGGG
rnacentral:rRNA from 1 species